ACGCUGGCGGCGUGCUUAACACAUGCAAGUCGAACGAUGAAGCCUAGCUUGCUAGGUGGAUUAGUGGCGAACGGGUGAGUAAUACGUGAGUAACCUACCUUUAACUCUGGGAUAAGCCCGGGAAACUGGGUCUAAUACCGGAUACGACCAAUCUCCGCAUGGGGUGUUGGUGGAAAGCGUUAUGUAGUGGUUAUAGAUGGGCUCACGGCCUAUCAGCUUGUUGGUGAGGUAACGGCUCACCAAGGCGACGACGGGUAGCCGGCCUGAGAGGGUGACCGGCCACACUGGGACUGAGACACGGCCCAGACUCCUACGGGAGGCAGCAGUGGGGAAUAUUGCACAAUGGGCGCAAGCCUGAUGCAGCGACGCCGCGUGAGGGAUGACGGCCUUCGGGUUGUAAACCUCUGUUAGCAGGGAAGAAGAGAGAUUGACGGUACCUGCAGAGAAAGCGCCGGCUAACUACGUGCCAGCAGCCGCGGUAAUACGUAGGGCGCGAGCGUUGUCCGGAAUUAUUGGGCGUAAAGAGCUUGUAGGCGGUUUGUCGCGUCUGCUGUGAAAGGCCGGGGCUUAACUCCGUGUAUUGCAGUGGGUACGGGCAGACUAGAGUGCAGUAGGGGAGACUGGAAUUCCUGGUGUAGCGGUGGAAUGCGCAGAUAUCAGGAGGAACACCGAUGGCGAAGGCAGGUCUCUGGGCUGUAACUGACGCUGAGAAGCGAAAGCAUGGGGAGCGAACAGGAUUAGAUACCCUGGUAGUCCAUGCCGUAAACGUUGGGCACUAGGUGUGGGGGACAUUCCACGUUUUCCGCGCCGUAGCUAACGCAUUAAGUGCCCCGCCUGGGGAGUACGGCCGCAAGGCUAAAACUCAAAGAAAUUGACGGGGGCCCGCACAAGCGGCGGAGCAUGCGGAUUAAUUCGAUGCAACGCG
rnacentral:rRNA from 1 species